AUGGCAGGGAGGGACCUGCGGUCGCUUGCUUUCGCUAUUGCACGCUUCCUCCAGAGAGAGAACCAUCGCUUUCCGCGCACCCAUCGCCAUCGUGCUGCAAGUCGUCGUCGCCGUCAGGGACUUGGCGCAAGGAGUGGCCCUCGCCGCCGCUUUUUCGCCUGGAACCACCGCCAGAACCGCCGCCGUGGGUACGCACGCCAAGGCAACCGCCCGCUCCGUGGGCGAGCAACAACGGUGCACCAGGCUGGACCCUCGGCUCCGACAACCGCUGCAAACCAUGCUGGGCCUUCGGCUCCGGCUCCGGCCGUUGCUGACGACUACAUCGUACCGACGACUCCGCCGCCAUCUGUCUUCACCAUCCCUCCUAUGGAUUGGCUCCUUGGAGGUCCAUCGGCGCCAUUCCUCGGAGAAGAAGAGAUGUUCCCUUGCGAACUCGCGCCGCCGCCUCUGCCCCCGUACUGCGUGCGGCACGGGUUCGAAUCGUGCCCAGCGCGUACGGGCGCACCACCGCGGAAGCCGUCUCCGACGCCAUCAGACGAACUGCCGGAGCACUUCAACCCUCCUGGAUACGGCCGCGCCCGGAUCUCCCAUCCCCGACGCCGGCGGCAGCGGGAACCGGCCGCUACCCCUUCAUCCCCGACUUGA
rnacentral:rRNA from 1 species